rnacentral:misc_RNA from 1 species
GAUGAAGAACGCAGCGAAAUGCGAUAAGUAAUGUGAAUUGCAGAAUUCAGUGAAUCAUCGAAUCUUUGAACGCAUCUUGCGCUCCUUGGUAUUCUGAGGAGCAUGCCUGUUUGAGUGUCAUUAAAUUCUCAACUACACUGACUUUGAAUUGGUGUGGCUUGGAUUUGGGGGGAAAAUUGUUGUGGGCUUUUUGUAUAGUCUGCUCCCCUGAAAUUGAUUAGCGGUACCUUUGUGGAACUGUCUACAGGUGUGAUAAUUAUCUACAUCUUAGACAUCUGCUGGAAUGCUGCUCUCUAAACCUUACUUGUAUUGACAAUCUUGACCUCAAAUCAGGUAGGACUACCCGCUGAACUUAGCAUAUCAAUAAGCGGAGGA